rnacentral:rRNA from 1 species
AACGAACGCUGGCGGCAUGCCUAACACAUGCAAGUCGAACGAGACCUUCGGGUGUAGUGGCGCACGGGUGCGUAACGCGUGGGAACCUGCCCUUAGGUUCGGAAUAACUCCCCGAAAGGGGUGCUAAUACCGGAUAAUGUCCUCGGACCAAAGAUUUAUCGCCUUUGGAUGGGCCGGCGUUGGAUUAGCUAGUUGGUAGGGUAAAAGCCUACCAAGGCGACGAUCCAUAGCUGGUCUGAGAGGAUGAUCAGCCACACUGGGACUGAGACACGGCCCAGACUCCUACGGGAGGCAGCAGUGGGGAAUAUUGGACAAUGGGCGAAAGCCUGAUCCAGCAAUGCCGCGUGAGUGAUGAAGGCCUUAGGGUUGUAAAGCUCUUUUACCCGGGAUGAUAAUGACAGUACCGGGAGAAUAAGCUCCGGCUAACUCCGUG